rnacentral:piRNA from 1 species
UAGGUUUAAAGAUAUAAACAGUGGGAAGAA